ACAAGGUCUCUGUUGGUGAACCAGCCCAGGGAUCAUUACAGGACUCGCAAGACUCCCGUAACCACUGUGAACCUACCCCUUCAGCGUUGCCUCGGCGUGCGCGCCCCGGGCCCCGGCCCGGGGCGCCCGCCGGCGGCCUACAACUCGUGCAUCAUGUGUUGGCAUCUCCGAGCUUACAAGCAAACGAAUCAAAACUUUCAACAACGGAUCUCUUGGUUCUGGCAUCGAUGAAGAACGCAGCGAAAUGCGAUAAGUAAUGUGAAUUGCAGAAUUCAGUGAACCAUCGAAUCUUUGAACGCACAUUGCGCCCGCCGGUAUCCCGGCGGGCAUGCCCGUCCGAGCGUCAUUGCAACCCUCAGGCCCCCGCGCCUGGUGUUGGGGUCCUGCGCCGCAGGCCCCGAAAGACAGCGGCGGGCGCGUCCCGGCACCGAACGCAGUAGUUACCUCUCGUUCCGGCCCGGGCCGCGCGCUAGCCGUUAAACCCCCC
rnacentral:rRNA from 1 species